rnacentral:lncRNA from 1 species
CCUCUUCUUCUUUAUCAUCUUCUUCAUUAUUAGAGGCGGGUUUCAUCACUUCUUCUUCUUUAUCAUCUACUUCAUUAACAUAGUCAGGUUGACUCACUUCUUCAUCCAUACUAUCUACUUCAUUAACAUGGGCAGGUUGAAUCUCUACUUCAUCCUCAUUCAACGCAUUCACAUUGUUGCUUUUGAAGUACUUGUUAAUAUCCCCUACUUGACUUUGAAUCAAUGCAAUUUCAUUUCAUUUCCUUUUCCUCUUUU